CCAUCUCAUGUGCAGAGACACACCUAGGCUCAAAAUAAAGGGAUGGAGGAAGAUCUACCAAGCAAAUGGAAAACAAAAAAAAGGCAAGUGUUGCAAUCCUAGUCUCUGAUAAAACAGACUUUAAACCAACAAAGAUCAAAAGAGACAAAGAAGGCCAUUACAUAAUGGUAAAGAGAUCAAUUCAACAAGAAGAGCUAACUAUCCUAAAUAUAUAUGCACCCA
rnacentral:lncRNA from 1 species